UCUCCGUUGGUGAACCAGCGGAGGGAUCAUUACCGAGUUUACAACUCCCAAACCCCUGUGAACAUACCUGUUUUGUUGCUUCGGCGGUGCCCUCGCUCUCGCGGCGAGGCCCGCCAGAGGACCUAAACAAACUCUUUGACUUUGAUCUAGGAUUAUACUUCUGAGUGAUACAAAAAAUAAAAUCAAAACUUUCAACAACGGAUCUCUUGGUUCUG
rnacentral:misc_RNA from 1 species